rnacentral:rRNA from 1 species
ACCUCUGCAAUAGGCGAAAGCCUGACAGGGUUACUCUGAGUGAUGCCCGCUAAGGGUAUCUUUUGGCACCUCUAAAAAUGGUGCAGAAUAAGGGGUGGGCAAGUCUGGUGUCAGCCGCCGCGGUAAUACCAGCACCCCGAGUUGUCGGGACGAUUAUUGGGCCUAAAGCAUCCGUAGCCUGUUCUGCAAGUCCUCCGUUAAAUCCACCUGCUCAACGGAUGGGCUGCGGAGGAUACCGCAGAGCUAGGAGGCGGGAGAGGCAAACGGUACUCAGUGGGUAGGGGUAAAAUCCUCUGAUCCAUUGAAGACCACCAGUGGCGAAGGCGGCUUGCCAGAACGCGCUCGACGGUGAGGGAUGAAAGCUGGGGGAGCAAACCGGAUUAGAUACCCGGGUAGUCCCAGCUGUAAACGAUGCAGACUCGGUGAUGGGCCGGCUUUAUGCCGGCUCAGUGCCGCAGGGAAGCCGUUAAGUCUGCCGCCUGGGGAGUACGGUCGCAAGACUGAAACUUAA